AGCUCUACACAGAGAUACAUCAUCCUGAGAUUUCAGGACUCUGGGGACAAAGAAAAGGUCCUACAAGUUUGCAAGGAUCAUGGAUCAGAACAGCAUCGCACAGUUGAAUAGCAUCAGUGGAAAUCAGAACACAAUGGAGUCAUAUGUUUAAUAUUCCAUAUGAAAGAGUUUGUGGUUAAAUUAGUGAUUAAAAAUUAGCAAACUAGGGGCUGGGGUUGGGGCUCAGCGGUAGAGCCCUUGCCUGGCACAUGUGAGGCCCUGGGUUGGAUCCUCAGCACCACAUAAAAAUAAAUAAAUAAAACAAAGGUAUUGUCUCCAUCUAUAACUAAAAGAAUGUUUAAAAAAUUAGCAAACUAAGUCAAUGAUAAGAGUAAGUCCAUUAUUAAGUCCAGGGAAAACAAAGCAUUAAAAAGAAAGUGACAGUAUUCUGUGCAGCUCAUUUGACAAUAGAUAUCCGGCGCCCAUCAAGUUCAAACUGGGACUAAAAGCAACGGAACUUUAUUUGGGGUCUAGGAAUUGUAAUUCCCGAAAACACAUUUGGACAGCUCUGAAGAAGAGCUCUGGAGAAGCUCAGACAGCGCAGGGGUCACAGGGAAGAAGCAGCUCAGGAGCAAGGAAAUCCCACAAGUCACCUGAAAAGGGAGGUGGCAGGUACAGAGAAGCUGUCCUACCUUGAUCAAGCUCUGCCUAACGGUUGCUAGACCAUCU
rnacentral:lncRNA from 1 species